rnacentral:rRNA from 1 species
UACGGGGGGAGCAAGCGUUGUUCGGAAUUACUGGGCGUAAAGCGCACGUAGGCGGCUUUGCAAGUUAGAGGUGAAAGCCCGGGGCUCAACUCCGGAACUGCCUUUAAGACUGCAUCGCUUGAAUCCAGGAGAGGUGAGUGGAAUUCCGAGUGUAGAGAUGAAAUUCGUAGAUAUUCGGAAGAACACCAGUGGCGAAGGCGGCUCACUGGACUGGUAUUGACGCUGACGUGCGAAAGCGUGGGUAGCAAACGGG